rnacentral:rRNA from 1 species
AUUGAACGCUGGCGGCAGGCUUAACACAUGCAAGUCGAGCGGAUGAAAGUAGCUUGCUACUGGAUUCAGCGGCGGACGGGUGAGUAAUGCUUAGGAAUCUGCCUAUUAGUGGGGGACAACGUUCCGAAAGGAGCGCUAAUACCGCAUACGUCCUACGGGAGAAAGCAGGGGACCUUCGGGCCUUGCGCUAAUAGAUGAGCCUAAGUCGGAUUAGCUAGUUGGUAGGGUAAAGGCCUACCAAGGCGACGAUCUGUAGCGGGUCUGAGAGGAUGAUCCGCCACACUGGGACUGAGACACGGCCCAGACUCCUACGGGAGGCAGCAGUGGGGAAUAUUGGACAAUGGGGGGAACCCUGAUCCAGCCAUGCCGCGUGUGUGAAGAAGGCCUUUUGGUUGUAAAGCACUUUAAGCGAGGAGGAGGCUACCUAGAUUAAUACUUUAGGAUAGUGGACGUUACUCGCAGAAUAAGCACCGGCUAACUCUGUGCCAGCAGCCGCGGUAAUACAGAGGGUGCGAGCGUUAAUCGGAUUUACUGGGCGUAAAGCGUGCGUAGGCGGCCAAUUAAGUCAAAUGUGAAAUCCCCGAGCUUAACUUGGGAAUUGCAUUCGAUACUGGUUGGCUAGAGUAUGGGAGAGGAUGGUAGAAUUCCAGGUGUAGCGGUGAAAUGCGUAGAGAUCUGGAGGAAUACCGAUGGCGAAAGCAGCCAUCUGGCCUAAUACUGACGCUGAGUACGAAAGCAUGGGGAGCAAACAGAUUAGAUACCC